rnacentral:rRNA from 1 species
GACGAACGCUGGCGGCGUGCCUAAUACAUGCAAGUAGAACGCACAGUUUAUACCGUAGCUUGCUACACCAUAAACUGUGAGUUACGAACGGGUGAGUAACGCGUAGGUAACCUGCCUGGUAGCGGGGGAUAACUAUUGGAAACGAUAGCUAAUACCGCAUAAUAUUGAUUAUUGCAUGAUAAUUGAUUGAAAGAUGCUAUUGCAUCACUACCAGAUGGACCUGCGUUGUAUUAGCUAGUAGGUGAGGUAACGGCUCACCUAGGCGACGAUACAUAGCCGACCUGGGAGGGUGAUCGGCCACACUGGGACUGAGACACGGCCCAGACUCCUACGGGAGGCAGCAGUAGGGAAUCUUCGGCAAUGGACGAAAGUCUGACCGAGCAACGCCGCGUGAGUGAAGAAGGUUUUCGGAUCGUAAAGCUCUGUUGUAAGAGAAGAACGGGUGUGAGAGUGGAAAGUUCACACUGUGACGGUAUCUUACCAGAAAGGGACGGCUAACUACGUG